AUUGAACGCUGGCGGCAGGCCUAACACAUGCAAGUCGAGCGAGCGGCGGACGGGUGAGUAACGCCUGGGAAUUGCCCAGUCGAGGGUGAUAACAGUUGGAAACGACUGCUAAUACCGCAUACGUUCGGAUUGCCCAGGUGGGAUUAGCUAGUUGGUGAGGUAAUGGCUCACCAAGGCGACGAUCCCUAUCUGGUCUGAGAGGAUGAUAAGCGACACUGAGACUGAGAAACGGUCCAGACGCUUAGGGGAGGCAGCAGUGGGGAAUAGUGCACAAUGGAGGAAACACUGGUACAGCCAUGACGCGUGUGUGAAGAAGGCAUUCGGGUUGUAAAGCAAUUGCAGCGAGGAGGCGUUACUCGCAGGAGAGGCACCGGCAAACUCCGUGCCAGCCGCCGCGGUAAUUC
rnacentral:rRNA from 1 species